AGAACCAAAGAUAUAGGAGGGAAGGAUUGGCAACGGAAGUGGUUCACGUGAUCAUUUUACAUUUGUUUCUGCAGUUUUGUAAUGAAACCAUCCGUGACUCGCCUGUUUUCCUGCCAGAAUGCCCGCGAAAAGCAGAAAAAGUCUGUUAUGGUCUUCCUUUAGUGCCUCAUGACCUCUCAUGGUGUUACACUGAUGUUGUGCUUUAUUUAGAGUUAGAUUAUCUUGCCAGUUUGUAAAACUAAAGAAACAAAGACUUUUUACUACAGAAAAACUACAAUUUUACAAGUUGCAGAAAAUAUGACUGGAGGUGUAAGGCCUGAUUAUCGGCUUAUAUAGUAAGAAACAGAACUGGGAUAGAAAGCUCCAGUCAUACUAUUAGAUCUUCAUCGUACUAUCAGUAUGCUGGAAGAAAUUAUGAAGCUGAAGAAGGAAGAGUUGAUUGACUAUUUUGGGCUACAUAUAAAAAACGAAAUGAAAGACUUUGUUACAUGCAAAAGACCCAGUUGUAUAGCACCAGCUCUACCUCAUGCAGUAGCAGCAGUAGCAGUUCAUUAUGCAGCUUAUUAUGGCAGUUUAUAUGACUUGUGAAAUGUUGAUAAUUUAUUAAAA